rnacentral:rRNA from 1 species
GCAGCAUGGUCUUAGCUUGCUAAGGCCGAUGGCGACCGGCGCACGGGUGAGUAACACGUAUCCAACCUGCCGUCUACUCUUGGACAGCCUUCUGAAAGGAAGAUUAAUACAAGAUGGCAUCAUGAGUCCGCAUGUUCACAUGAUUAAAGGUAUUCCGGUAGACGAUGGGGAUGCGUUCCAUUAGAUAGUAGGCGGGGUAACGGCCCACCUAGUCUUCGAUGGAUAGGGGUUCUGAGAGGAAGGUCCCCCACAUUGGAACUGAGACACGGUCCAAACUCCUACGGGAGGCAGCAGUGAGGAAUAUUGGUCAAUGGGCGAGAGCCUGAACCAGCCAAGUAGCGUGAAGGAUGACUGCCCUAUGGGUUGUAAACUUCUUUUAUAUGGGAAUAAAGUUUUCCACGUGUGGAAUUUUGUAUGUACCAUAUGAAUAAGGAUCGGCUAACUCCGUGCCAGCAGCCGCGGUAAUACGGAGGAUCCGAGCGUUAUCCGGAUUUAUUGGGUUUAAAGGGAGCGUAGGUGGACAGUUAAGUCAGUUGUGAAAGUUUGCGGCUCAACCGUAAAAUUGCAGUUGAUACUGGCUGUCUUGAGUACAGUAGAGGUGGGCGGAAUUCGUGGUGUAGCGGUGAAAUGCUUAGAUAUCACGAAGAACUCCGAUUGCGAAGGCAGCUCACUGGACUGCAACUGACACUGAUGCUCGAAAGUGUGGGUAUCAAACAGGAUUAGAUACCCUGGUAGUCCACACAGUAAACGAUGAAUACUCGCUGUUUGCGAUAUACAGUAAGCGGCCAAGCGAAAGCAUUAAGUAUUCCACCUGGGGAGUACGCCGGCAACGGUGAAACUCAAAGGAAUUGACGGGGGCCCGCACAAGCGGAGGAACAUGUGGUUUAAUUCGAUGAUACGCGAGGAACCUUA